rnacentral:rRNA from 1 species
GUACACGCUGUGACUAGCAUAUCAAUAAGCGGAGGAAAAGAAACUAACUAGGAUUCCCUCAGUAACGGCGAGUGAAGCGGGAAGAGCUCAAAUUUGAAAUCUUCAAGGUUCUACCUUGACGAAUUGUAGUUUAAAGAAGUGUUUUCUGUUGGAGUUUUGGUAAAAGUUCUUUGGAAUAGGGACAUCCAUAGAGGGUGAGAAUCCCGUAUUUGACCAUUAUUUCCAGCUUUGUGAUACACUUUCAAAGAGUCGGAUUGUUUGGGAAUGCAGUCCAAAAUGGGUGGUAAAUUUCAUCUAAAGCUAAAUACUGGCGAGAGACCGAUAGCGAACAAGUACCGUGAGGGAAAGAUGAAAAGAACUUUGAAAAGAGAGUUAAACAGUACGUGAAAUUGUCAAAAGGGAAGCGUUCGACACCAGUGUUGUUUUCUCGAAAAUCAAUUAAAAAAGGCAGGAUUUUGUGUUGUAUUGACCUUAUCAGCUUUCUGCACUCUUUUCUUGUCUUUUUUAAUGCACUUUUCGUUUAACAAGUCAACAUCAGUUUCUUUUGUUGUAAAAGGGUCAUUGGAAGGUGGCUUUCUUUUCGGAGAAAGUGUUUAUAGCCUUUGGCCUCUGCAAUCGGAGAGAUUGAGGUCUGCAGCGUAGAUCCUUCGGGGUUAGAUACAUUUGUGCUAAGUUAUAGCCUUUUCAUAGACAACUUGUUGACUAUAAUCAGUCAUGUAGCUUACUCGCUUAUGCUAUUUUACCUACGCUUAGGAUGUUGAAGACUCUACAGAGAUA